rnacentral:tRNA from 1 species
GCCUGGGUGGCCCAGUCGGUUGAGCGUCUGACUUCAGCUCAGGUCACCGUCUCGCGGUUCGUGAGUUCGAGCCCGCGUCUCGGGCG